rnacentral:tRNA from 1 species
GCAGCGGUAUCGAAGAGGUCAUAACGGGGCUGACUCGAAAUCAGUUUGUGAGCAAUCACACGUGGGUUCGAAUCCCACCCGCUGCGCCA